UGUCCUACGGGGCGCAGCAGUGGGGGAUAUUGCACAAUGGGGGGAACCCUGAUGCAGCGACGCCGCGUGGGUGAAGGAGUAUUUCGGUAUGUAAAGCCCUAUCGGCAGGGAAGAAGCAAGACGGUACCUGACUAAGAAGCCCCGGCUAACUACGUGCCAGCAGCCGCGGUAAUACGGAGGAUGCGAGCGUUAUCUGGAUUUAUUGGGUUUAAAGGGUGCGUAGGCGGGCUUUUAAGUCAGCGGUAAAAAUUCGGGGCUCAACCCCGUCCGGCCGUUGAAACUGGGGGCCUUGAGUGGGCGAGAAG
rnacentral:rRNA from 1 species